CCUACGGGAGGCAGCAGUGGGGAAUAUUGGGCAAUGGAGGCAACUCUGACCCAGCAACGCCGCGUGAAUGAUGAAGGUCUUCGGAUUGUAAAGUUCUUUUCUAAGGGAAGAAGCAAGUGACGGUACCUUAUGAAUAAGCCUCGGCUAACUACGUGCCAGCAGCCGCGGUAAUACGUAGGAGGCGAGUGUUAUCCGGAAUGACUGGGCGUAAAGGGUGCGUAGGUGGGUUGGCAAGUUAGUAGCGUAACUCCAAGGCUCAACCUAGGAACUACUACUAAAACUGUUGGACUUGAGUGCAGGAGGGGCAGGCGGAAUUCCGGGUGUAGCGGUGGAAUGCGUAGAUAUUAGGAGGAACACCAGUGGCGAAGGCGGGCUGCUGGACGGUAACUGACGCUGAGGCGCGAAAGCGUGGGGAGCAAACAGGAUUAGAUACCCGGGUAGUC
rnacentral:rRNA from 1 species